GUUGACCUCGGAUCAGUAGAAAUACCCGCUGAACUUAAGCAUAUCAAUA
rnacentral:rRNA from 1 species